rnacentral:tRNA from 1 species
GCGGGAAUAGCUCAGUUGGUAGAGCACGACCUUGCCAAGGUCGGGGUCGCGAGUUCGAUUCUCGUUUCCAGCUCCA